rnacentral:rRNA from 1 species
UACGUAGGGGGCUAGCGUUGUCCGGAAUCAUUGGGCGUAAAGAGCGUGUAGGCGGCUCGGUAAGUCCGCUGUGAAAGUCGGGGGCUCAACCCUCGAAUGCCGGUGGAUACUGUCGAGCUAGAGUGCGGAAGAGGCGAGUGGAAUUCCUGGUGUAGCGGUGAAAUGCGCAGAUAUCAGGAGGAACACCGAUUGCGAAGGCAGCUCGCUGGGACGUUACUGACGCUGAGACGCGAAAGCGUGGGGGAGCAAACAGG